CAGGGAUACUUGGCUCUUGCAUGUUAAUGUAUCAGCCAACACCUCUCCUGUGCACCUAUGGCAGACAUCAUUAAUCCAUCAAGGCACUCUCCUGUUUAGCCCAGUCCCAGCUUCAGAGCUCUUCUCAGUAUUGUGACCCAGACAGCGGCUACCCAUCAACCAGACUGCCACACAGGACAGAAAUCUAGAUUAUUACAUAAUCCAUCUUGAGAAUUUAGAAGAAUAAUAUCGCCCUCGUGCCUGGCUUAUAUAGAAAAAGGGACAGCAAGAAGACAGAUAAAGUGGAGCACAGAAAGAAGGAUGAAAUGAAAAUUAUUUGUCUAUUUUAGACAAGCAAUUUUCUCUAAUGUUCUGUUCUCUUGUUUGGUUGUUCUAGUGAGAGCUCAAGGACCUUUUAAGGUGGAACGAAUCUGGGGGUUGUUCUGGGGGAGGCAGUUAGCCUUGGGUAGCUGGAAAUAUGGGUAGGAAAAGCUGGGAACAGAGCCCAGGAGGAACCAAGUGUCCAAUGCCAACACCUGGGCCCAGAGGCCCCACUGCACACCCCACCUGGCCCUGGAAGGGAGAGGACAGAUAAAAUUCGGAGAUUUCAUCAUGUCAGACGUGGAGUUGGGUUCUUUUCACCUGCAUGAAAAUACUGCAAAGUACUCAUAAUGUCUCCAUUUUACAGAUGAGCAAACUGAGGCUCAGAGAAAUUAUACUGUCUUUGGCUUCAUCUAGGGACUUCUCAUUCUAGAAGGAAAAAAACACAAUUUAAUCCAAAACUCUCAAAACUACCAAGAAGAGCCAGGUGCACAGGAACACUGGGGUGAGAAUAUGCUUGGCAUUUUAAAAAUGGAAACUAGAGUCAUUUUUUUCAUGCAUGCAUAUUAAUGGACAGAAGCUGCCUAGAAAAUUGUAAAUAGCAGAUUCACCACUGAAAUUUAUUUGCCCUUGAGUUAAUGCUAAAGUAGGUGACAAAUCCAAAGCAUGAAAAGAAAUGGGUCUGGAUUUAAGAGGGGGCCAGGAAUAUGCACCAAAAGCCUUAAAAAUGUGCACAACCUCUGGCCAAGCAAUUUCACCUCUAGGAAUUUCUCCUCCCGAAAUAGCUGGAGCCAGCCAAUUUCUCGCCGACAUCAGAACACCUGGGUUUUAGUCCUGCCACUGGUUCUCUCCCAGUAUGACUCUCAGUGAGUCUUGUGACUCCUCUGGGCCUCAGUUUACCCAUCUGUAGAAUCAAAUGGCAAAAUGGGCCGGGUGUGGUGGUUCACGCCUGUAACCCCAGCACUUUGGGAGGCUGCGUCACGUGGAUCACCUGAGGACGGGACUUCAAGACCAGCCAGGCCAACAUGGCGAAACUCCAUCUCUAAAAUACAAAAUACC